GGGGAAACCCAAUGAGAUGAAGAAAGCAGUGGCAGGUCGGCACAACUAUGUUGUGAAUGAACCAGAGUGGGGAGACUCUGACAUAGUUGAAAGUGAUGACAGUAUGGAGGUAAGUCAGUGUAGUGAGAGAAUGAGAGAGAAAAGAGGGAAUGAGUUUGUCAGUAACAGCUCAAAGAAAAUCAAGGGUAGUGGAGGAAGGGAGGAGAGAAAUCAGGAAGGUCUGGAGUUUAAAAUUAUAUUGAGAUUUGGCGAGGAGAGGGGAAUCUCUUCAAUGAGUCCGGUGAAUUUAACAACUGUAUUGAGAAACCAGGUUGGGGAUAUACAUUUGGCUCAGGUUUUGAGAGAUGGAAAUCUGUUGAUUGUUUGCAGGAAUGAAGAACAGAGAGAUCGGGCUGGAAGGAUGAAAGAAGUAGGGCUGUUUAAAGUGGAAAGUAUAAGUCAUGUUGCAGGAGGAAGUUGAGAUGGGUGAAAUGCCGCUGCACAUCAGACACAAACAGUUAAUGAUGAACUACUGGACAAAUCUUCAAGGGCAUUCUGAAGAUCGAGAUCCAACAAUAAAAGUACUUCUUCCAUGCUGGGAGAGAGAAAGGGCCAAAAGGGAAUGUUUUGCGUGGAGCAGUGAAACAGUUGCUAGAGAUUUGUUUAGGGGUAGAUAACUCUGGUUCACACUCCAACAUAGUAGGUGGCGGUAAUGCACCUUUACGCUGGUUGCCACCCGCCAUAAAAAGGAAGAAGAAGAAGUGCAACAUCCACAAGGCUAUUCAAGAGAAGGCUGAGACCUGGGC